GAUGAAGAACGUAGCGAAAUGCGAUACGUAGUGUGAAUUGCAGAAUUCAGUGAAUCAUCGAAUCUUUGAACGCACAUUGCGCCCCCUGGCAUUCCGGGGGGCAUGCCUGUUCGAGCGUCAUUACAACCCUCAAGCUCUGCUUGGUAUUGGGCUCUGCUGGGACCGGCAGGCCUUAAAAUCAGUGGCGGCGCCACUCGGCUUCAAGCGUAGUAAUUCUUCUCGCUUCGGAGACCCGGGUGCGUGCUAGCCAGCAACCCCCAACUUUCUUAGGUUGACCUCGGAUCAGGUAGGGAUACCCGCUGAACUUAAGCAUAUCAAUAAGCGGAGGA
rnacentral:misc_RNA from 1 species